AGCUUUAUAGUCAAUAAUGAUAUUAGACUGCAAUUCUAAAGGAGUAAAUAUUUACUGAAGCUU
rnacentral:tRNA from 1 species